UGCUGUCUUCGAGGCGGGGUGAAAUUCCCCACCGGUGGUAAAAGUCCACAAGCUUCGGCUGAUCGGGUGCAACUCCCGAACCGACGGUACAGUCCGGAUGAAAGAAGAUGUAC
rfam:Eubacterium sp. CAG:180 genomic scaffold, scf39